rnacentral:rRNA from 1 species
UACGUAGGGGGCGAGCGUUAAUCGGAAUUACUGGGCGUAAAGCGUGCGCAGGCGGUUCGUUGUGUCGGUGGUGAAAGCCCCGGGCUUAACCUGGGAAUGGCCAUGGAAACUGGCGAACUGGAGUGUGGCAGAGGGGGGUGGAAUUCCGCGUGUAGCAGUGAAAUGCGUAGAGAUCGGGAGGAACACCAGAGGCGAAGGCGGCGACCUGGACAGAUACUGACACUCAACUACGAAAGCGUGGGGAGCAAACAGG